rnacentral:rRNA from 1 species
GUGGGGAAUCUUGCGCAAUGGGCGAAAGCCUGACGCAGCCAUGCCGCGUGAAUGAUGGAGGUCUUAGGAUUGUAAAAUUCUUUCACCGGGGACGAUAAUGACGGUACCCGGAGAAGAAGCUCCGGCUAACUUCGUGCCAGCAGCCGCGGUAAUACGAAGGGGGCUAGCGUUGCUCGGAAUUACUGGGCGUAAAGGGCGCGUAGGCGGACAGCUUAGUCAGAGGUGAAAGCCCAGGGCUCAACCUUGGAAUUGCCUUUGAUACUGGCUGUCUUGAGUUUGGGAGAGGUGAGUGGAACUCCGAGUGUAGAGGUGAAAUUCGUAGAUAUUCGGAAGAACACCAGUGGCGAAGGCGACUCACUGGCCCAAUACUGACGCUGAGGCGCGAAAGCGUGGGGAGCAAACAGGAUUAGAAACCCGAGUAGUCC